GGUGGUUUGUCGCGUCGUCUGUGAAAUUCCGGGGCUUAACUCCGGGCGUGCAGGCGAUACGGGCAUAACUUGAGUACUGUAGGGGUAACUGGAAUUCCUGGUGUAGCGGUGAAAUGCGCAGAUAUCAGGAGGAACACCGAUGGCGAAGGCAGGUUACUGGGCAGUUACUGACGCUGAGGAGCGAAAGCAUGGGUAGCGAACAGGAUUAGAUACCCUGGUAGUCCAUGCCGUAAACGGUGGGCGCUAGGUGUGAGGGUCUUUUCACGACUUUCGUGCCGUAGCUAACGCAUUAAGCGCCCCGCCUGGGGAGUACGGCCGCAAGGCUAAAACUCAAAGGAAUUGACGGGGGCCCGCACAAGCGGCGGAGCAUGUGGAUUAAUUCGAUGCAACGCGAAGAACCUUACCUGGGCUUGACAUACACUGGAUCGCUGCAGAGAUGUAGUUUCCCUUUGUGGCUGGUGUACAGGUGGUGCAUGGUUGUCGUCAGCUCGUGUCGUGAGAUGUUGGGUUAAGUCCCCGCAACGAGCGCAACCCUUGUCUUAUGUUGCCAGCAUUUGGUUGGGGACUCAUGAGAGACUGCCGGGGUCAACUCGGAGGAAGGUGGGGAUGACGUCAAAUCAUCAUGCCCCUUAUGUCCAGGGCUUCACACAUGCUACAAUGGUCGGUACAACGCGCAGCGACACUGUGAGGUGGAGCGAAUCGCUGAAAGCCGGCCUUAGUUCGGAUUGGGGUCUGCAACUCGACCCCAUGAAGUCGGAGUCGCUAGU
rnacentral:rRNA from 1 species